rnacentral:rRNA from 1 species
GACGAACGCUGGCGGCGUGCUUAACACAUGCAAGUCGAACGGAAAGGCCCUGCUGUUGUGGGGUGCUCGAGUGGCGAACGGGUGAGUAACACGUGAGUAACCUGCCCUUGACUUUGGGAUAACUUCAGGAAACUGGGGCUAAUACCGGAUAGGAGCUCCUGCUGCAUGGUGGGGGUUGGAAAGUUUCGGCGGUUGGGGAUGGACUCGCGGCUUAUCAGCUUGUUGGUGGGGUAGUGGCUUACCAAGGCUUUGACGGGUAGCCGGCCUGAGAGGGUGACCGGCCACAUUGGGACUGAGCUACGGCCCAGACUCCCACGGGAGGCAGCAGUGGGGAAUAUUGCACAAUGGGCGGAAGCCUGAUGAAGCAACGCCGCGUGCGGGAUGACGGCCUUCGGGUUGUAAACCGCUUUCGCCUGUGACGAAGCGUGAGUGACGGUAAUGGGUAAAGAAGCACCGGCUAACUACGUG